rnacentral:misc_RNA from 1 species
UUGAAUAAACAUUUGAUAGGCUGUUGCUGGCCCUUCUAGGGUAGUGUGCACGCUUGUCAUUUAUUUGUUUAUUUUUCCACCUGUGCACCUUUCUGUAGACCCUUAGGAUUUUAUAACAUUUUCUUUGGUCGCUCGCGGCCAAAAUUUAACACAUCAAGAAUAAAUUGUCUGAAACUGAAUAAAAAAUUAUUCA